rnacentral:ncRNA from 1 species
CGAGUAGGAGGGUCGCGGCGGUGUGCGCAGAAGGGUCUGGGCGCGAGCUUGCUUGGAGCCGCCGUCGGUGCAGAUCUUGGUGGUAGUAGCAAAUACUCCAGCGAGGCCCUAAAAGACUGACGUGGAGAAGGGUUUCGUGUAAACAGCCGUUGCACUCGAGUCAGUCGGUCCUAAGCCCUAGGAGAAAUCCUAUCCAAUAACGGCGUACUUAUACUCAAGUGUUUACUCUCUGUCUCGCACUCGCACACUCUCACUCGUCGCGCGUGACGCGCGCGCCCGCGUGCCGGGCGACGCUGUACGUCGAGCUGAACGACGAGCUGUGUGCGCGCGAGCUCAAGUGUUCUGACACACGCCCGUCGGGCGAAAGGAAAUCGGUUCCUAUUCCGGAACCCGGCAGCGGAACCGCAUACAAUUCGGGCCCUCGUAAGAGUGUUCGUCGGGGUAACCCAAAUGACCUGGAGACGUCGUCGGAGAUCCGGGAAGAGUUUUCUUUCCUGUAUAAGUGUUCGAGUUCCCUGGAAACCUCUAGCAGGG